AGAGUGCGUGUUCAGAUAUUUUUGAGCACCUUGGCCGCUCUGAUAUAUCAGAUGGUGACUGUAGUAGCAUAAGUCACAAAUGCCAUUUCAAGACUUAUCCCAUUGUAAUAGGGAAGUAGUUUGAAUGGCAACGCAUAACCCCUGUAUUUAGGCAAGUAGCGUAGCACAGAAAUAUUGUACAUUGUUGUUAAUCUAUGUUUUAUAUGUUGUAACAUACAAUAAAUGUAGAAAAGUAUAA